UACAGAGGGGGCAAGCGUUGUUCGGAAUUACUGGGCGUAAAGGGCUCGUAGGCGGCCAACUAAGUCAGACGUGAAAUCCCUCAGCUUAACUGGGGAACUGCGUCUGAUACUGGAUGGCUUGGAUUCGGGAGAGGAAUGCGGAAUUCCAGGUGUAGCGGUGAAAUGCGUAGAUAUCUGGAGGAACACCGGUGGCGAAGGCGGCAUCCUGGACCAACACUGACGCUGAGUGAGCGAAAGCCAGGGGAGCAAACGGG
rnacentral:rRNA from 1 species